AUUACAAACAUUCGAUAGAUGAACCUCACCCCGAAUAUAAUAUCCAAUCACAAUCUUCAUUUCCCCCAAUUAAACAGGGCCUAAGUUCUGAAAGAGGCUGGCAAUUGGAGGCAGUCAACGAAGAGUCACGAGUGAAGCUUCAGCAUCGGAUCGGAGGUCGUUCGAAGUACCGUUGUCGCACUGCAGCACCAUCGUCGGAGGUGUUUGGGGACAAACAUGGCAACAUCUUACAUUUAUACGAAAGAGACUGCAGUAUGCAGAGAAGACAUCAGAAAAUAAUUGAAGAAGCUUCAGCUGUAUGCAACUCUAUCUAUAUUUUAAGUUUAGGUUUCUUGAUGUAGAUGCCUAUACUUUUGACAGAAACACUGUUUUUCCAGCCAAAUGUCCUGAAUGACAUUCGCACUCAUGUGGGUCAUGCUGAUGUAUGUGCGGCCAAGGUCUGAAUGAGCAUUCUUGUCAAGGCAAUCAGUAUUUUAUUAUCUCAUCUCUCAUAUUUAUGAACUUGAUAUAUCUUAAUUUUUAUGAAAAUGAUGAUUGUUCUCCAGAACUUAAGACAUUUUCUUCAAACUAUGUGUGAAAAUUUUAGAUGCUAAAUUGCUAUGCUGCUGAUCUAAUGGUCAUGCUUAUGCCACAAAUUUCAUAGUUUCAUUUGAACUUUGCCCUCGAGUGUUGUCAUAGUUGAUGGACAACGAUUGGGGCCAGAAUAAUGGAAAGUUCAUAUUACGAAGGUGAUAAAGCCUCGUCAAAAUUUGGUGAAAGGUCAUCAAGGUGUCAAAACAAUUGGAGAUGCACUUCACAAAUGUGUAGCUUGGCCUUCAGUUGAUAUUGAGGAUCCACUUGCAGACUAUAGAUUGAGGGGAGUUAGAUAGACCAUGUAGAUAAUGCACAUGCUUUUUGGAACUCUUAUUUUGGCGCUUGUGUUUUUAGACAAAUAUUUUGGAACUAGUUGCUACAUUUGCAGAUUGAAGGGAGCUAAAUGGACCACGUUGAUGAUACACAUGCUUUUUGGGACUUUUUAUUUUGGCACUUGUGUUUUGAGACAAACAUUUUGGAACUAGUUGCUGUAUUUGUAGAUUGAGGGAGCUAAAUGGACCAUGUAAAUGAUGCACAUGCUUUUUGGGACUUUUAUUUUGGCACUUGCGUUUUGAGACAAAUAUUUUGGAACUAAUUGCUAUAAGUGAAAUGUAUUUUGGAACUAAUUGCUACGUGUUUCAUGUAUUUUGGAACUUUGCUACAUGUGACUUGUAUUUUGGAAUAGAUUUUGAAUA